CUUAGCUGGGUAGUGGUGGUGC
rnacentral:miRNA from 1 species